rnacentral:rRNA from 1 species
ACAAAUCUGUUCUCAGUUCGGAUCGCAGUCUGCAACUCGACUGCGUGAAGCUGGAAUCGCUAGUAAUCGCGGAUCAGCAUGCCGCGGUGAAUACGUUCCCGGGCCUUGUACACACCGCCCGUCACACCACGAGAGUUUGUAACACCCGAAGUCGGUGAGGUAACCGUUAUGGAGCCAGCCGCCGAAGGUGGGACAGAUGAUUGGGGUGAAGUCGUAACAAGGUAGCCGUAUCGGAAGGUGCGGCUGGAUCACCUCCUUUCUAAGGA